rnacentral:rRNA from 1 species
AGUGAACGCUGGCGGCAGGCCUAACACAUGCAAGUCGAACGGCAGCACAGGAGAGCUUGCUCUCUGGGUGGCGAGUGGCGGACGGGUGAGGAAUACAUCGGAAUCUGCCUAUUUGUGGGGGAUAACUUCGGGAAACCGGGACUAAUACCGCAUACGACCUACGGGUGAAAGCAGGGGACCUUCGCGCCUUGCGCAGAUAGAUCAGCCGGUGUCGGAAUAGCUAGAUGGAGGGGUAAUGGCCCACCAAGGCGACGAUCCCUAGCUGGUCUGAGAGGAUGAUCAGACACACUGGAACUGAGAGACGGCCCAGACUCCUGCGGGAGGAAGCAGUGGGGAAUAUUAGACAAUGGGCGAAAGCCUGAUCCAGCCAUGCCGCGUGAGUGAAGAAGGCCCUCGGGUUGUAAAGCUCUUUUGUUGGGAAAGAAAAGCAAUCGGUUAAUACCCGGUUGUUCUGACGGUACCCAAAGAAUAAGCACCGGCUAACUUCGUGCCAGCCGCCGCAGUAAUAC